rnacentral:misc_RNA from 1 species
AAGAUUCGACCUUCGGGUCUAUCUUAUCUUCAGCUGUGCGCUUUUGCUGCACGCUGUUGAACUUCACACACCUGUGCACACUUCGGUUGCAGUUAGUUAUCUCUAGCUGCUUCCGCUUUUACAUUUAACUACUAAGUCUUGAAUGUCAAAUACAAUAAAAAUAA